CCACCGAGCGAGGCGCCAGUGGGGGUGCAUGAAGUAUCCAAUUCAGUAGAAUGUACUCAUUGUCCUGUUAUUCAAGGAAGACACCAAGAGAUGAGAGUGAUGCAAAAGCACAGAGUCUGUUGCUAGUCAGGCUAGGGUCGAGACCAUGCACCACACAGACACAGCUGCUCCAGGUGCUCGACCACGAACCCUAACACUACAGUGUAUAUAUUAGAAGAUGACAUCACUGACAGUGUUGCUAUCCAUACAAAGUAGUACAACAGAAGAAAAUUAUCAAUGCAUGAUCAACUUCUCUUCUACACAAAAUUAGAACAGUCUAUUUGCUAGUUAUCUCUUAGGCUGUCGUACACUUCUUAUAGAAUUGAAAAGGCAAAAUACCACAUAAUCUCUGCUGCAUUGCAGGGGUUCCUACAUUUGUUGACAUUUAU